CACCAGGAGAUGAAAUCACCAAGGACAGUCUUGGGGGCUCCCACCCUCCACCUCUAAAUCCUGCCUCUCUGUAGCCGUGACCAGGGACGGUCGUUCCUCUCCUCCAACAGCACCCUUCUCUCCAAGGAAGUUCAGGUGUGUGAUUCCCUGACCCAGAAUUAGCGUGGAUGGCCUGGUCCCCAAGAGUCUGCCAAACAUCCGUGUUGAACAGGGAGAUGCGCCAGUGAAUGGCCUCUGCCCAACGUAGACCCUGGCCUCUAAGGAAGCCACAGGGAGGCUGUUCUUCCAAGCCCCAUUUCCCACCCAGUCGAGUUGUACCUGGGCCCCGCCGCUCAACCAGCCUCCUGUGGGGUCUGAUGAAAUGCUCUAAAAAUGCUCGCUUCCUACUUUGCCCCUCGUCAACCAUUCCUCAUCAAUGGGCUCCAACCUGCAGACGUCAGAACCAUGCAAGUUCUGGAGUCUGGGAAGUCUAAGAUCAAGGAGCCAGGAGGAUCAGUUGUCUGGGCAAAUCUGCCCUCUGCUUCUAAGAUGGCCCCUUGCCAAUGCAUCCUCUAGAGGGAUGAAGGUCGUACCCUCGCACAGCAGAGCGGGUGAAAGGAGCACAAAGAGUCCAUAGCUGCUCCGUACAGACAAACCAUCCUACUCCUCCAGUGAGGGAAAACAUGUUGGCCACCUCCUCUAGGAAAAUGUCAGCACCUGGGAUAUAGGAGCAAGGAGUCUCUGUGGAGUCGCCUAAGCCAUCUUCACCCGUGAGAAGUGAGGAGCUGAGCCCAG